CCCGGAUAAACAGGCACGGGCGUAGAGUUUCCUCAACGCCCGUGCCCUCAUUUUAAGGGCAGAAGAUACGAC
rnacentral:sRNA from 1 species